rnacentral:rRNA from 1 species
UGGUUAAAAAGCUCGUAGUUGGAUCUCGGCGGACUGAGGGCGGUUUGCUUGCUAGUAUUACUGCCCUAUAGUCCGCAGUUUUGCCAGAGGUUUCGGGAUGCUCUUAAUCGAGUGUCCCGGGAUGCUGGCAGGUUUACUUUGAAAAAAUUAGAGUGCUCAAAGCAGGCUAUUACGCCUGAAUAUUCGUGCAUGGAAUAAUAGAAUAGGAAGUCGUUUCUAUUUUGUUGGUUUUCGGAAAUCGACUUAAUGAUUAAUAGGGACAGUCGGGGGCAUUUGUAUUCAAACGACAGAGGUGAAAUUCUUGGACCGUUUGAAGACAAACUACUGCGAAAGCAUUUGCCAAGAAUGUUUUCAUUAAUCAAGAACGAAAGUUAAAGGUUCGAAGGCGAUUAGAUACCGCCCUAGUUUUAACCAUAAACGAUGCCAGCUAGCGAUCUGCGGACGUUUUUUUUGUAGACUCCGCAGGAAGCUUCCGGGAAACCAAAGCAUUUGGGUUCCAGGGGAAGUAUGGUUGCAAAGCUGAAACUUAAAGGAAUUGACGGAAGGGCACCACCAGGAGUGGAGCCUGUGGCUUAAUUGGGCUCAACACGGGAAAUCUCACCAGGCCCGGACACUGGAAGGAUUGACAGAUUGAUAGCUCUUUCU